rnacentral:rRNA from 1 species
GAUGAACGCUGGCGGCGUGCCUAAUACAUGCCAGUCGAGCGAACAGACGAGGAGCUUGCUCCUCUGACGUUAGCGGCGGACGGGUGAGUAACACGUGGAUAACCUACCUAUAAGACUGGGAUAACUUCGGGAAACCGGAGCUAAUACCGGAUAAUAUAUUGAACCGCAUGGUUCAAUAGUGAAAGACGGUUUUGCUGUCACUUAUAGAUGGAUCCGCGCCGCAUUAGCUAGUUGGUAAGGUAACGGCUUACCAAGGCAACGAUGCGUAGCCGACCUGAGAGGGUGAGCGGCCACACUGGAACUGAGACACGGUCCAGACGCCUACGGGAGGCAGCAGUAGGGAAUCUUCCGCAAUGGGCGAAAGCCUGACGGAGCAACGCCGCGUGAGUGAUGAAGGUCUUCGGAUCGUAAAACUCUGUUAUUAGGGAAGAACAAAUGUGUAAGUAACUAUGCACGUCUUGACGGUACCUAAUCAGAAAGCCACGGCUAACUACGUG